UACAGAGGGUGCAAGCGUUGUCCGGAAUUAUUGGGCGUAAAGCGCGCGCAGGCGGUCCUUUAAGUCUGAUGUGAAAGCCCACGGCUCAACCGUGGAGGGUCAUUGGAAACUGGAGGACUUGAGUACAGAAGAGGAAAGCGGAAUUCCACGUGUAGCGGUGAAAUGCGUAGAGAUGUGGAGGAACACCAGUGGCGAAGGCGGCUUUCUGGUCUGUAACUGACGCUGAGGCGCGAAAGCGUGGGGAGCAAACAGG
rnacentral:rRNA from 1 species